rnacentral:rRNA from 1 species
GGAGGAUUUAGCAGUAAAUUAAGAAUAGAGUGCUUGAUUGAACUAGGCCAUGAAGCGCGUACACACCGCCCGUCGCUCCUCUCAAAUAUAUUUGAGGAACAUCUUAACUAAACACUCCAACAUUUAUACAGAGAGGAUAAGUCGUAACAUGGUAAGUGUACUGGAAGGUGCACUUGGACAAAU